UUUUUAAUUUUACUUAUUGUUAAAACCAAGGCUGACUUCAUAAACGCAGUUUGCAAUGCAACACUGCAAAGAAAUUCAUUUACAAUGCAAAGCAAUAUUGCGUGGCAACACUGCUUUGCCAAAUAAAUGGUUGGCAUUUUACUGCAUUUAUGAACGCGCAAAAGAUUGGUACAUUGCAUCACUAACACUAACAUAUUCGACAACAAAGUUUUUUUAAAUGAAUGUGCAGGAAUAUUGCUGUAUUCUUUUGAAAACAGCCUCAGAAUUGGCUGAUAAUAGAGAAUCAAGCAGCAGUGUUAUCAAAAAUAUAAUAAACGAAAGAAAACGCCGUCGUUUUGCAUUAUUAGCUAGCGAAAAUUCACGGAGAAGAAUUCCAAAAACCAAAAAUUUUUGUAAGGUUAUCGAAAGCAUGGAAGACGAUGUAUUUUAUUCUCAUUUUCGAAUGAAGAAAAGUACAUUUCAGAAGUUGCAGAUUGCGAUUAAGCCCUGGUGGAAAUCAAGUGAAACUGGACGUAUAGCAAUAACGUUGAAAAAAUCUUUACAAAUAACAAUUUGGAAGCUAAGCAAUAAUUGCUCUUUCAGAGAUGUCAGCGACCGGUUUGGUGUGGCAGCUGGCCUCGCAUAUAAGCGGAACAAAAACAAGUAAAUGAAGAAUUUACAAACCUGCGGUAUAAUCCUUUUCCUUUUGUAAUUGGAUGCAUCGACGGAACUCAUAUUCCAAUUUCGAAGCCAAUCAAGGAUGAAAUCAGCUAUCGCAACCGAAAGGGAACGUAUUCAAUCAUUAAAAAAUGAACUUUUUUGCAUGAUAAUAAUUAUUAACUGGAAAUAUUUUUUUCAGGCUAUUGUAGAUAGUCGAAUGAGGUUUAUAGAUGCAUUUAUCGGCUGUCCAGGUGCGUGCCACGACGCAUCAGUUUGGCAAAGGAGCUCUGUCAGGAAAGCUAUAAUUAGCAAGGAGAUUAAAAUCUGUUCUAAUUACCAUUUGUUGGGCGAUGGAGGGUAUCCAUUAGAAUCGUUCCUUAUGGUGCCCUAUCGUGAUAACGGGUUCUUAACACCAAUGCAGUCAAAAUACAAUGCGAUUCUGUCUUCAACUCGCGUUGUUGUGGAACAAGCAUUUGGUGUUUUAAAAAAAAAAUUUAGAAUUCUCAAAUACAUCGAAGCUCAACGUCCAUAUAUGCCAAAAUUAAUUACAAUGGCAUGUAUGAUUGUUCAUAAUAUAAUAAUUGAAAAUGAAGGCUACUUAGUCGAUGAAAUAGAUGAAGAAAACUCACAUACUGAGCCCCAAAUAGUCGAAGAUACGACUACAUCGGGACAAAGGGAGGCAAAAGCAAAAAGGGAUGCACUGGCCACGCUAUUGUCUGCCUAAUUGAAAAUAGUUAAAACUUUAAAGUUAUAGUUGUUUUUUUAACUUUAUUAAACCCAAUAAAGAAAAAAUAAAAAUAAAA